rnacentral:rRNA from 1 species
CCUACGGGCGGCUGCAGUGAGGAAUAUUGGUCAAUGGGCGCGAGCCUGAACCAGCCAAGUCGCGUGAGGGAAGACGGUCCUAUGGAUUGUAAACCUCUUUUGUCGGGGAGCAAAAGACGCCACGCGUGGCGUUCCGAGAGUACCCGAAGAAAAAGCAUCGGCUAACUCCGUGCCAGCAGCCGCGGUAAUACGGAGGAUGCGAGCGUUAUCCGGAUUUAUUGGGUUUAAAGGGUGCGCAGGCGGAAGAUUAAGUCAGCGGUAAAAUUGAGAGGCUCAACCCCUUCGAGCCGUUGAAACUGGUAUUCUUGAGUGAGCGAGAAGUAUGCGGAAUGCGUGGUGUAGCGGUGAAAUGCAUAGAUAUCACGCAGAACUCCGAUUGCGAAGGCAGCAUACCGGCGCUCAACUGACGCUCAUGCACGAAAGUGUGGGUAUCGAACAGGAUUAGAUACCCCAGUAGUC